UACGGGGGGGGCAAGCGUUGUUCGGAAUUACUGGGCGUAAAGGGCUCGUAGGCGGCCAACUAAGUCGGAUGUGAAAUCCCCAGGCUCAACCUGGGAACUGCAUCCGAUACUGGAUGGCUUGAAUUCGGGAGAGGGAUGCAGAAUUCCAGGUGUAGCGGUGAAAUGCGUAGAUAUCUGGAGGAAUACCGGUGGCGAGGGCGGCAUCCUGGACCGACAUUGACGCUGAGGAGCGAAAGCUAGGGGAGCAAACGGG
rnacentral:rRNA from 1 species